UACGAAGGUGGCAAGCGUUGUUCGGAUUCACUGGGCGUACAGGGUGUGUAGGCGGUUUGGUAAGCCUUCUGUUAAAGCUUCGGGCCCAACCCGGAAAGCGCAGAGGGUACUGCCAGGCUAGGACGGGAGAGGAGCGCGGAAUUCCCGGUGUAGCGGUGAAAUGCGUAGAGAUCGGGAGGAAGGCCGGUGGCGAAGGCGGCAUCCUGGACCGGCAUUGACGCUGAACGGCGAAAGCUAGGGGAGCAAACGGG
rnacentral:rRNA from 1 species